CACAGCCAGGCCCCACACCCAGAGGCAGCUCUUUUUCCAAGUCGGCUGGAAUCUCAACGAUAUGCAGUCUUCGAACCUCCUGCUGCACACCUAAGGCACUGUGCGGUUCUCUUACAGGUCUGGACAUCCUUCUAAAGCUCACAACACCUCCAUCACAGAUGUAGAAACCAAGGCUCAGAGCACGGUCACUGAAUGCCUAAUAAAUGGCGGAACCCAGGCUUGAACAAAAGACUUUGUUCCACUCAUCCCCAGGAUUACUUGGGACCCAGACACCCGAGCGGCAGACCUCACGAGAGCAAGUUUGCACAGAGAACAACAGGAAGGUCAGAGGCACAGAAGGAGCUGAGCAGCGGGGGUGAUGCUCCAUCUGACGGUGAUGCUGGGACAGUGUCGGCUUGUGUGCCCCACUCUCAAACAGCGUGGAGGCAAAGGAGCCCCAGGUUUCGGCCAGUUCCCCUUCUUCUCUCACUCGUCUGGACACUUUUGUGUGAGUUUGAGAGCCACUGGUCUGGAAAGACAUGGUGGCCAGUCAAUGGGGAGAGAGUUUAAAAGGUCGAAGAGUCAUAUUUAAAGAAGCCACACACACACACACACAGAGGCCUAGAGUAGGGCAGAAGGCUGAGUACGUGUUGUGGGUGUCCAAACCAAGAACGUGGCUUUGGAGCAAGAAGGACUUGGGUUCAAAUUCUAGCUUCUGUGGCUAUGAGACCUCAGACAAGGGGGUAAUAUUAGCCUGCUAGUGUCAUUAGGUAGAUUAAAUGAGACAACAUCUGUAAAGUAAUUAGCAUGUGCUACUAAGUAGCAGGUACUUAGUAGUAGCUUCAUUCACUGCUCAGAGAAAGGCAGCUAUUAUGAUGAUGACGAUGAUCUUUAUUACUGAGUGAAAGUCGCUUAGUCGGUCUGACUCUUUGAGACCCCAUGCCUACCAGGCUCUGUUUUGCGCAUGAAAAUCAUUGCAGUUUGACUCAGCCCUGAAAAGUAAAGUGUGUUAGUUUUCUGUCUGACUCUUUGAGACCCAAUGGACUGUAGCCCACCAGGCUCCUCUGUCCAUGGAAUUCUCCAGGCAAGAAUACUGGAGUGGGUUGCCAUUUCCUUCUCCAGGGAAUCUUCCCAACUCAAGGAUUAAAUCCAGGUCUCCCACAUUGUAGGCAGAUUCUUUAACAACUAAGCUACAAGGGAAACCUAUCACUAUUACAUCAGGUUUCCCAUGAUGGUUCAAGCAGUAAAGAAUUCGCCUGCAGUGCAGGAGACACAGGAGACUCGGGUUCCAUCCCUGGUUCGGGAUUGCAGAGGAAAUGGCAACCCACUCCAUCAUUCUUGCCUGGGAAAUCCCAUGGACAGAGGACCCACAGGGUCACAAAGAGUCUGACACGACUUAGCACGAACGCAGUGUUACAUCAGCACAACAAUGUAGAGACGUUGCUGAGACUUCCACGGUGGUCCAGUGGUUAAGAAUCCACCUGCCAAUGCAGGGGACACGGGUUUGAUCCCUGGCCCGGGAAGAUUCCUCAUGCCACGGGGCAAAUAAGACCAUGUGACGUAACUGUUGAAGCCCACACACCCUAGGGCCCAUGCUCUGCAACAAGAGAAGCCACCGCAAUGAAAAGCCCACAAACCAUUACUGUCUAGUAGCCCCAUGCUCACUGCAACUAGAGAAAGCCUGUUCAUAGUAAUGAAAACCCAGCUCAGCCAAAAAUAAAUAAUAAUUAAUUAUUUUUAAACUGCUUUUA
rnacentral:lncRNA from 1 species